CCUCACUCUUAUCCUUCCCUCUCUCCCAGUUUCUGCAGGUGUUCCCCACUGGCCAAGCCCAGGAGAGGGCAAGGGAGCCUCUUGACAUAACCACAGGACUUAGCUUCCCUGGUACAAAAGAAGGUGGAAGACUAGUCCUGGAAGGGCAACCAGGAGCAAUCCAAUAUAUUAUGAUACAGCUAAAUUUGAAUCUGCUGUUGCUUAUACAAAGAAUAGUGAAUCCUUCUCAAGCUUCAGAAUCAAUAAGAACACGCAUUUAUCAAGCACUUUACUGUGUGCUCUGCUGAGUUAAGCACUUUACAGGCAUUAUCUCAUUUAAUCCAUAAACAACCUUACCAAGUAGAUUCUAUUGUUCACUCCAAAAUGGAAGAUAGAACAAAUACAUGGCAGCAUUGCUGUGAAGAGGAGAGAAAAUGAGGAGGAGAGAAAAUGCAUCAAGGCUGUGCAUUGGAGCUGUAAAAGUGCAACACUGACACCUUCCAUGAAAAACCAGGCGGGUGCUGGAGGCCAUAACUGAGACAGUGUUGAGCAUGGAGGAACAGGUCAUGUCAAUGAGCUUUAACCAAUAAAGCAUCUUGGAAACAUCUGAGAAAUCAAAAAUAUGACUUGCAAAGGGUGAUUAUAUACAUGGGGAGGAUAACUAGGAAAGAGCCUCAAAGGCUAGACCUUCCUUCUGGGAUAGGGGAGGAGGAUAUAUGCCCUUUGGGAAGAGAACAGAGCUAGCUAGGCACUUCAGAUCAGAGCUGUG
rnacentral:lncRNA from 10 species